rnacentral:ncRNA from 1 species
UGAUUACCGAGCUUGUUCGCCUAAGUUAUGAAAAAUAAUAUGGUGGCAAUGCCAGCGAUUAAUUGCUCAGGGAUCCGCGGGAAACGGUUGGUCCUUCCUUAUUUGAAAAGGUAUCUAUGU